rnacentral:lncRNA from 1 species
AUUAGUUCCGGGAUAAAUUAAUUCUUGAACUUGUUUUAUUGAAUUCUUAUAUCAUUGUCAUAAUCCUCAUGUUUAUAUUAUGUUGAAAGUCAUCUGUGGUCUGUAAUGCAUAGAUGGACUUGGUAUGAUUAUGACCAGGGAUUAUACGGUGUAAUCAUGACCGUAAUAUUACAAAUGAUAUGGAAAAAGUCCUCAUUGGCCCGUAGUGCAUUGAUGGACAGUUGUUG